rnacentral:lncRNA from 1 species
UGCGUCGCACCCCCCGCCUGUUCCUGAGAUUCAGCGCUCUGGGUGUGGGAACGCAGCACGUGCACUGGGGGCCUGGAGAUCAUUGGCUUCAGAGCUGGAAGGAAACUUAGAGGUCAUUUCGUCCAAUUCCCGCAUUUUUUUUGGGGGGGGGGAACCUGUUCGAUCCCCCUAGUAACCGGGACUGGGAACCCCUAGCAACAUGGACCGUGAAGAAGGUUCAGCGUGACUGCGUCACCUGGAUUGUGUCUCUAGGGGCAGAGAACAGCAAAAUGGGGAGGGACCUGGGAGAUCACCCGGUCCGAACCUCUGUUAAGUAACAGAGGAGGGAACCGAGAUCCUUGAUCUAUCAUCAUCUUUGGAGAGAUGGGUUGGUGUGAGGCUUGUGCCUUGGAUUAAAGUCCUUCAGAAAUGGGAAUGAAUGGAGACUGGACCUGUGGGAUCAUUAGAGGAGAGAAUACUUACGAUUCAAGGCCAUGGCUUGGAUGACCAGGCUGAGAGGUGCGUGCUGCAGAGGACACCCGAUCAGGAUUUAGCACAAAGAGGAUUGGAACCAAGGCCUGGACAACUGACUUACCAAGCCCUGCCCAGAUGCCACUGUCCACUCGGUGAGUUAGAGGCCCUGUGCCAAGGAGGAGCCAAAGAAACUCAAAUAUUGGCUUAGAAACUGCCAAAGUUCUCUUCCCUGACGCCCCGCCCUCCUUCCCCCGGAGUCCGGGUUUCCGUGAGCGCGGCCUGG